rnacentral:rRNA from 1 species
GGGUGCAGUCUUACCAGUAUUAUUGCAUUGAAUCCCAUAAGAACUUUGAAGUUAAGCAUGCUUUGACAAGAAUAGGACUAGGAUGGAUGACCUCUUGGGAAGUCCUUGUGGUCGCCACUU